UACGGAGGAUGCGAGCGUUAUCCGGAUUUAUUGGGUUUAAAGGGUGCGUAGGCAGGCUUUUAAGUCAGCGGUAAAAAUUCGGGGCUCAACCCCGUCCGGCCGUUGAAACUGGGGGUCUUGAGUGGGCGAGAAGAAGGCGGAAUGCGUGGUGUAGCGGUGAAAUGCAUAGAUAUCACGCAGAACCCCGAUUGCGAAGGCAGCCUUCCGGCGCCCUACUGACGCUGAGGCACGAAAGUGCGGGGAUCGAACAGG
rnacentral:rRNA from 1 species